CCCCUAGUAACGGCGAGUGAAGCGGGACGAGCUCAAAUUUGUAAUCUGGCGGCCUCUGGCCGUCCGAGUUGUAGUCUGGAGAAGCGUCUUCCGCGUCGGACCAUGUACAAGUCCCUUGGAACAGGGUGUCGUAGAGGGUGAGAAUCCCGUCUUUGACAUGGACCCCCGAUGCUUUGUGAUGCGCUCUCGAAGAGUCGAGUUGUUUGGGAAUGCAGCUCAAAACGGGUGGUAAAUUCCAUCUAAAGCUAAAUAUGGGCGAAAGACCGAUAGCGAACAAGUACCGUGAGGGAAAGAUGAAAAGCACUUUGAAAAGAGAGUUAAACAGUACGUGAAAUUGUUGAAAGGGAAACGCUUGAAGUCAGUCGCGUCUCUUGGGACUCAGCCCGGUUUUGGUCGGGCGUAUUUCCUGAGGUGACGGGUCAGCAUCGAUUUUGACCGUUGGAGAAAGGCCUAGGGAAUGUGGCACCCUUGGGUGUGUUAUAGCCUUUGGUCGUAUGCGACGGUUGGGAUCGAGGAUUGCAGCACGCCUUCUUGGCCGGGGUUCGCCCACGUUCGUGCUUAGGAUGCUGGCGUAAUGGCUUUAAGCGACCCGUCUUGAAACACGGACCAAGGAGUCUAACAUGCCUGCGAGUGUUUGGGUGGCAAACCCGGACGCGAAAUGAAAGUGAAAGGUUGGGACCUUCCUCGUGGAGGGCACCAACGCCCGGACCAGACCUUCUGUGACGGUUCCGAGGUAGAGCAUGCAUGCUGGGACCCGAAAGAUGGUGAACUAUGCUUGAGUAGGGUGAAGCCAGAGGAAACUCUGGUGGAGGCUCGUAGCGAUUCUGACGUGCAAAUCGAUCGUCGAACUUGAGUAUAGGGGCGAAAGACUAAUCGAACCAUCUAGUAGCUGG
rnacentral:rRNA from 1 species